GGGCUGGCUCAGUGGGAGAGCACUUGCCUAGCAUGCAUGAGGCACUGGGUUCAAUCCUUGGCACCCCA
rnacentral:tRNA from 1 species